GACGAACGCUGGCGGCGUGCUUAACACAUGCAAGUCGAACGGAAAGGCCCUGCUUUUGUGGGGUGCUCGAGUGGCGAACGGGUGAGUAACACGUGAGUAACCUGCCCUUGACUUUGGGAUAACUUCAGGAAACUGGGGCUAAUACCGGAUAGGAGCUCCUGCUGCAUGGGGGGGGUUGGAAAGUUUCGGCGGUUGGGGAUGGACUCGCGGCUUAUCAGCUUGUUGGUGGGGUAGUGGCUUACCAAGGCUUUGACGGGUAGCCGGCCUGAGAGGGUGACCGGCCACAUGGGGACUGAGAUACGGCCCAGACUCCUACGGGAGGCAGCAGUGGGGAAUAUUGCACAAUGGGCGGAAGUCUGAUGCAGCAACGCCGCGUGCGGGAUGACGGCCUUCGGGUUGUAAACCGCUUUCGCCUGUGACGAAGCGUGAGUGACGGUAAUGGGUAAAGAAGCACCGGCUAACUACGUG
rnacentral:rRNA from 1 species